rnacentral:lncRNA from 1 species
ACUCCCUUAGUAUACUAAGGACCUGGAGGCAAUCUUGCCAGACUUCCUCUGCAGGCAUCUUUAAUUUUCUUGUAUCAUAAAUUUUUAUCUUACAUUCUAUACAAGGGGGAAUCACUGAGCUGAUGAGUGAGCCUAACCAUUUGCCCGACACCAUUGCAGAAACUGGUUAUUUUACCAAGGCUUUGACUGGAAUAGUGUGCUUCCCUUUAAGGAAUCAAACUUGACUUUUGGAGCUAAUAAAAGCCCCUUGGGAAAACUGCUCUCUUACCUUGUCUACACAGUCUCUGGACAGAGUUCCUGACCUGUGUAUCCAGAAUGAGUGAUCCUUGAAAAUCUCAAAUUGGAUCAUGUCCUUCAGCUACUUAAAACCUGUCAAUGAUGACCAGUUGUACUUCAAGUAAAAUCCAAAUCCUCUCAAGGUACCAAGGGGAGAAGGAAGAAACAAUACAAGAAUUGGCCCCAGGAAAUAUUUAUUCUAAAUCCGGCACAUGCAAAACCCCGAGAUAGCCAUCAAGGACAAAAAUCGUCACUGGGAGGUGGGAAGCCCUGAAGGAAAAGCACUAGUCUUGGUGUCAGAAGACCUAUGCUUGUGUUUUCACGCUGACAGGACAUGUGUAUCUCAACAAGUAUCUUCAUCUUCUGAACCUAUUUCCUCAUCUAUAAAAGGUCACUAACACCCAUUUUGAAAAACCACAUGUAGGUUAGGAGGAUUCAAUGUAUGUGAAAGAGUUCUUCAAACUCCUAAGCACUUGCUGUGCUGAUGGUAAAGGUGAUAAUGAGGAGGAAGGAGUGUCUGCUAUGGGAAAACCACUGUCCUAAAACUUUUAAAUACAUUGUUAAUUAAUCUGCACCAAUAAGUCUACGAAUUAGAUUCUAUCAUAAUCUCAAUUUUACAGAUGAGGUUCAGAGAGAUGACAAAUUUUCCCCAAUAUCACACAGUCAUUUUAAUGGUGGAACAGAAAUUUUAACCCAAAUCUAUCUGGCUCCAUAGUUAACACUCUUAACUACCAUAUUAUAUGGCCCCAAUCUAACUCCCUUAUCUUUGGGAAAUACUUUUAUUUAUAGGUCAAUGACACAGAGUUACAGAUCCUGGGUACAGCCUGGGUCUGUAACUUACUCAAUGUAUAAUGCUGGGUAAGUCUUAACCUCUCUGUGCCUCAUCUGUUAAAUGAAAGAGUUGAACUCUAGGAUCUCUCAAGUUCAUUCCCUUUGAGUUCAUCUAACAUUAUACGGUCUUCGUUCUUGUUGGUACAAUAGUUUAUUAGGUAAUUGUUUAUUAGAUAAUUAACAGUCCAUGUCACCUUGGCUAUCUGCCAAAUGAAUAGAAGCACACUACAGAUAUUAGAGAGGGAGGGUUGAAGGGAAAAGAUUUCCAAGGGCUUUGGCAGGUGGAGAAGGCUUUUUGGAGAGGAUAGGCCUGAACCGUUUCACCAUUAAAAGCACUUUUAUUAUUUUUCUCCAUAGUCACUAUAUUUACAAAGAUUUUAUGUUUACUUAACAUUGUGUCAUGGUCUGGCAAAAGAGAGCAUCUGCAGCCCCUCCAGGAAAGAAGAGAAAUCCUGUAAUCCCUAGAGAGAGUCAGGCAGGAGGACAAAAUUAGUGGCUGCAUGCUUACUGCAGACCAGCACGGUAUGAGAACAGUAUUUUGUCAUCAGCUGUGAGUCAGCUAAAAGUUGAAGCCAAAUGUUCAAGCAUUGUUAGGAGUUGAGUCUUUUCUUUGAUGAAGCAUAUGGGAGCCUCAUUCAUCCACACUUUCCUUGCCUCCACAUCCUUGCCAUUAUGGGAAUGGCAUAUAAGCCAGUGAUGCUCAACCAGAAGUGACUUUGUCCCUUAUGAACUAUAGGCGAUAUCCGAAGACAGACUAAAUGCCAUGACUUGGCUGGGGAGGAAGUGGGAGCUUGUUCCUGAUAUCUAGUGGAUAGAGGCCAACAAUACUUAGGGCAGGCUCCCCACCCUCCAUCCCCAGCAACAGAGAAGUAUCUGGUCCAAAAUUUCAAUAGUGCUGAGGCUGAAAAACUCUGAUACAAGGGAACAGCAGUUAC